rnacentral:rRNA from 1 species
AUUGAACGCUGGCGGCAUGCUUUACACAUGCAAGUCGAACGGCAGCGGGGGCUUCGGCCUGCCGGCGAGUGGCGAACGGGUGAGUAAUGCAUCGGAACGUGCCCAGUCGUGGGGGAUAACGCACCGAAAGGUGUGCUAAUACCGCAUCCGUCCUGAGGGAGAAAGCGGGGGAUCGCAAGACCUCGCGCGCUUGGAGCGGCCGAUGCCGGAUUAGCUAGUUGGUGGGGUAAAGGCCUACCAAGGCAACGAUCCGUAGCUGGUCUGAGAGGACGACCAGCCACACUGGGACUGAGACACGGCCCAGACUCCUACGGGAGGCAGCAGUGGGGAAUUUUGGACAAUGGGCGCAAGCCUGAUCCAGCCAUGCCGCGUGCGGGAAGAAGGCUUCGGGUUGUAAACCGCUUUUGUCAGGGAAGAAACGGUCUGGGUUAAUACCUCGGGCUAAUGACGGUACCUGAAGAAUAAGCACCGGCUAACUACGUGCCAGCCGCCGCGGUAA